ACACUUUACAUCCACGUGUCUAAACAUCCGUUUGGACAUAAACCCCCUUCUUAGCGAACUAGUCGGGUGGUUAUCCCGCAAGAGAUUUCCAUUCCGUCAUUUUUUUCUCUUUGUUUUUAUUUCACUUUUUAAAACCCAAUUGAAAUUCUUAGACUGAAACUUUCUUGCAUAGACAGAAAUGUCUCUUGCAUCGAAAAAAACAAAAUGCUAAA
rnacentral:misc_RNA from 1 species